UAAUUCAAAAAAGGAAAAAUUACAGUUUUCGUCCUUUAUGUUUGUAUUGGAUUACAAUGGAUAACCUUUAACUUCAAUAAUUACAGUCACAGUCCUUUAUUUAAAAAACUCGUUACACCGUAGGUCCUUUAAUACUAACUAGGUUAAAAUUUUAAGUUAAGUUAGCACAUGUUCCUUACACAUGAGGGUAAAUCAGUAAUUUCACUCGUUUAUCUAAAAUAUAUUUAACAAAAAGAUAAAAAUAAUUUACAACAAUAAAAAAUUACAUAUAAAUAUAAUAAUCAUCCCUCUUCAAACUCUGUAUCUGAAACUUCAGAAAACCCCCAAGUUUCACCUUCAUCUUCAUAGCACAGCCUUAUUCCGCCGCACCUCCAUCUUCAUCGCACAACCCUAUUCCGCCGGAGAUAUAGUUCUUCAUCGCAUGCCACCCCUUCUCGUCGUUUAGAGUUCGUUUUUGUGGCUGGAGAUCUGUUCUUCAUCGCACACCGCUAUGGUGGUAUGGCGAAGACGAGCGGGACGAUGGCGGAAGGAACGGCGGUGACGGCGGAAGGAGUGGGCUUCUGUUUUGGUCGGAGAUCUUGUUGAUUUGGGUCUCAACAUCGGUAACGAUAACAAUAGAAGGGUCUAAACCCUAGCAAUGGUGGCGGUUCCAGAACAGAUCCGAUGAGCAGGAGAAAGAGAGAGUGGUGGACGAGGCGGUUGUGGUGUUAUGAGUUUAGAGAGAAAGAGAGAUUGGCAGUGGUGGUGUUAUGAGUUUAGAGAGAGAGAGAGAGUGACGGUGGAGUAGCUCCGAUGAUGGUGGUGGUCAUGUCUUAGGCGGUGGCAGUGGUGGACUUGGGCAGUGGUUGACUGGUUUUAUUUUAGAAAGAGAAAAAGAGAAUGAAACAAGCAGCAUUAUUUAUAUA